UAGACCCAAUCAGCUAUAAGUUUCUUAGAGUCUUGUCUAGUACCUUCAACUAUUAGCUCUGAUGCCAAUUGUUUAAAGAGAAAGCGAGUCUAAUAUAAUAGGCAUUAGCUUCUAGAUCUAGUCUUCUACGUCAACCUAUCUUCCUAAUUUAUAUGUGAUUUAAACUUCGCACGUGAUCCUCAAUCAUUCAAGGAUGGAUUAUGAUCGUAUGACGACCAUGGUGCGCA
rnacentral:lncRNA from 1 species